AUGCCAGGAGGAGAUGAACCAGUUUUCGGAGGUAGGGAGGCGUUUGCAGGUGCAGGCAAGGGAGGGAAUGGUGGUGCUGCUGGGCGAGCGAUCGGAGGUAGGGGAGGGAAUGGUGUUGGGUCCAGGGGACCUGCAGCCGUGGGUGCAGGCGUAGGAGGACAGUACCAGUUCCAAGUAGGAGGUGGCGGAGCCAGGCCAGCUGCAGGCGGAGGAGCAGCCAGACGACAGUUCCCGGUGGGCGGGUACGGUGGCGGAGCCAGGCCAGUGGCAGGCGGAGGAGGGUUUGUAGGUGCGGGCGGAGGACAGUUCCCGGUGGGAGGGAGCGGUGGUGGACGCAUGGGAGCUGCAGCCGUGAGAGCGUUCGCAGGUGCCCUCGGAGGACCGAUCCCAGCAGGAUUGUUGUACGGUGGUGGAGUCCAGGGAGCUGGAGCCGUGGGAGAGUUUGGAGCGGCUAGGGGAGGAGGGUUCAGAAGGAACGCCGAUGAUAUUCUGCCCGCUGUGUUCUACCGAGGAAUUAUGCGAGGCUCAGGCGUCGAAUUCACAAUCACAAACAAGGUUUGCUCAUCAUUCCCUACCUUCCUUUGA
rnacentral:rRNA from 1 species